rnacentral:lncRNA from 1 species
AUGUCUAGCACAUCAAGGGUACUCAAGCAUCAUUCAGACCAUACAAGUCUAAGUCUGAUUAAAAAGCACUUUGAACAAUGCCUGGAGAGAACCUGUGGGCCUGUCUCCUUGCUUAUACCAAGGAACCACUAUCCUCUAGAACAGAAAAAGCCUAAGCGAAAGAAGCUACAGGAACACCAAGCAAACCAAGCAUAGCUGCUCAAAGAUACCUGACACACCGUAAGCAUCCAGAAGAUUGUCUGGCAUCUGACAGGCUCUCAACAAAUAUGUACUGAAUUGAAUUGAAAGUAAUUUGGUUCUCUAAUUACUAAAUCAGGUAAGGAUUAGGAAUUUGUGAUUUCAAUGCCAAAGUGAAACUAUCAAAAUGAUACAUUACCUAAUAGUCAUUGAGUUAGACCAUAGUGGGGAUGCCUGGGUGGCUCAGUGGCUGAGCAUCUGCCUUUGGCUCAGGUCAUGAUCCCAGGGUCCUGGGAUUGAGUCCUACAUCAGGCUCCCCAGAGGGAGCCUGCUUCUCUCUCUACCUAUGUCUCUGCCUUUCUAUCUGUGUCUCUCAUGAAUAAAUAAAUAAAAUCUUAAAAAAAAAAGAAUUAGACCAUAGGGGAAUUCAAACAGAAUUCUCUAUGGCAAUAAAGAGUAGGUGUUGGGAUGCUUGGGUGGCUCAGUGGUUGAGUGCCUGCCUUAGGCUCAGGGUGUGAUCCUGAGGUCCUGGGAUCGAGUCCCACGUUGGGCUCCCUGCAAGGAGCCUGCUUCUCUCUCUAGAAUAGGUAUAAUAAUUAUCUCUAGUUCAAAAGGUUGUGAAGAUUAAGUGCAUUUAUAUAUGUGUAUGUAUACAUAUAUAUACACACCUGAGUGGC